GAUGAAGAACGCAGUGAAAUGCGAUAAGUAAUGCGAAUUGCAGAAUUCCAGGGAGUCAUCGAAUCUUUGAACGCACAUUGCGCCCUUUGGUAUUCCGAAGGGCAUGCCUGUUCGAGCGUCAUUAUCACCCCUCAAGCCCUCGGCUUGGUGUUGGACGGUUUGGUGGAGGCCCCCUCGGGGGCUCCUGCCCCUCCCAAAGACAGUGACGGCGGCCUCGUUGGACCCCCGGUACACUGAGUUCUUCACGGGACACGUAUCGGACACAUGGGUUUACGGGACACGGUCUGCCUCCCCUCAGGGAGAAUCUUUCUAAGGUUGACCUCGGAUCAGGUAGGGAUACCCGCUGAACUUAAGCAUAUCAAUAAGCGGAGGA
rnacentral:misc_RNA from 1 species